rnacentral:lncRNA from 1 species
CCCAGACCCCAGGUGGCUGUCACCUCUGCCGUGACAGAAGCCUCUCAUGACCACGGCCCCCACGAUGACCGCUACUGGCCGCCAGCUCUGGGUGCAACAACAUGCUGGCUGGACUCUGAGCCAAGGAAACCCACAUUCUCAAAACCACCCCACAGCUGCCCAAGGUCACCCAGCUGACGAGCAGUGGUCAGAGUCUGAAACCAGAACCACCCUCUUUCCGCCAUUAUCACAGCCACCCCUUAGAGACCCACACGGACACAUCCAAGCGGGCCAGGCUAGGAGGACUCUGCCUGCACAACCUCAGUGCCCCUCUAUGGCGCCCUGGGCAGUAUGCAUGGCCUUCCCUCCCACGGCGCGCUGGGGACAGUCUCAACUCUGAGCUGUGGCCCACACUGACCCCUCCCAGGCUGCCUGACCUGACAGCGGUUCUCAACAGGAGCACUGCAGACGCCGGGGUGGGACAGUUCUCCCGGCCCUGUAGCAGCCCUGACCCCCACCCAGUAAAUGCCACCAGCAGCACCCCCCAUACUGUGACAAUCCAACGUGUCCUCGUGCACCUCCGAAUGCCCCAGGCGCGGACACCUUCGAGGCCCAGCUCAGCCCCCACUUCCUCCCCAUCCCACCCUUGUCUCAGUGACCACCUUCCUCCCCACUCAGGACCCCAAAUUCAGCAUCUCCCAGUUGGGCCUCAUUUUCCUGCUUGGUCCAGAAGGCUCCAGCCAGAAACAGGGUUCCCAGAGGUCAGAAUGCCCAGAAGGCUUCCCACUGAGACCCCAGCAGGCAGGUGGUUAAAUCAAGGGACUGCCUUCCCUGGUCUGACACAGCUGUCACUCUCCCUGGAGACACACCAGCCACACCCCUGGCUGGCCUCCUCAGCAGGUCUGCACCCCAGGGUUGGUAAAUUCCAUGUAACCAAGUCUCAGAUGGAACCCAAGCUCUGAGCUCUGUGGCAUCCCUGGAGGUCAGGCAGAAGACACAGCUCUGCGUCCCCUGCACCCGCCCCCGCCCAUGCCUUAAUCACCUCUAAGG